rnacentral:rRNA from 1 species
CUACGGAGGAUGCGAGCGUUAUCCGGAUUUAUUGGGUUUAAAGGGUGCGCAGGAGGGUGAUUAAGUCAGCGGUGAAAGGCUCGGGCUAAACCGGAGCAGUGCCGUUGAUACUGGUUGUCUUGAAUGCGGUCAAAGCCGGCGGAAUGUGGCGUGUAGCGGUGAAACACAUUGAUAAGCCACAGAACACCGAGAGCGAAGGCAGAUGGCCGAGCAUGCAUUGACGCUCACGCACGAAAGCAUGGGGAUCGAACAGGAUUAGAUCCCCUAGUAGUACUCGCUGUAAACGAUGAACACUCGGUGUCGGCAACAGACAGUCGGCGGCCAAACGAAAGUGAUAAGCGUCCCAACUGGGGAGUUCGGUCGCAAGGCUGAAACGCAAAGGAAUUGACGGGGG